GACGAACGCUGGCGGCGUGCUUAACACAUGCAAGUCGAACGGUAAGGCCCCACUUUGCUGGGGUACACGAGUGGCGAACGGGUGAGUAACACGUGGGUGACCUGCCCCGUACUUCGGGAUAACCCGGGGAAACUGGUACUAAUACCGGAUAGGUGCGCACGGUGGGGGGGGGGUGUCGAACUUUUCGGUGUGGGAUGGGCCCGCGGCUGAUUAGCUGGUUGGUGGGGUAAUGGCCUACCAAGGCGGCGACGGGUAGCCGGCCUGAGAGGGUGGACGGCCACAUUGGGACUGAGGCACGGCCCAGACUCCUACGGGAGGCAGCAGUGGAGAAUAUUGCACAGUGGGCGGAAGCCUGAUGCAGCGACGCCGCGUGGGGGAUGACGGCCUUCGGGUUGUAAACUCCUUUCACCAUCGACGAAGGUUUUCUGACGGUAGAUGGAGAAGAAGCACCGGCUAACUACGUG
rnacentral:rRNA from 1 species